GGAACUGUGCCUGAAUGCCCAAGGACCACUUUGAUAGAGUGACUUAUAGGGGUUAAACCCCCCUCAGUUCCU
rnacentral:tRNA from 1 species